rnacentral:rRNA from 1 species
GACGAACGCUGGCGGCGUGCUUAACACAUGCAAGUCGAACGGUGAAGCGCCUUCCUUUUUGGUGGGUGUGGAUGAGUGGCGAACGGGUGAGUAACACGUUAGUAACCUGCCCCCUUCUUCUGGAUAACCGAAUGAAAGUGUGGCUAAUACGGGAUAUUCUGGGUCUGUCGCAUGAUGGGUCUGGGAAAGCUAUUGUUUCGGUGGGGGAUGGGCUCGCGGACUAUCAGCUUGUUGGUGGGGUGACGGCCUACCAAGGCGGUGCGGGGUAGCCGGCCUGAGAGGGUGGACGGCCAUGCAGGGGCUGCACCGCGGCCAAGACUCCGUGAGGAGGCAGCAGGGGGUAUUAUAGCACAAUGGGCGGAAUGCUGAUGCAGCGACGCCGCGUGGAAGAUGGAGGCCUUCGGGUUGUGAACCUCUUUCGCGAGUGAAGCAGGGCUGCCUCGUUUGUGGGUGGGUUGACGGUAGCUGGAUAAGAAGCGCCGGCUAACUACGUG